rnacentral:rRNA from 1 species
GACGAACGCUGGCGGCGUGCUUAACACAUGCAAGUCGAACGGAAAGGCCCUGCUUGCAGGGUACUCGAGUGGCGAACUGGUGAGUAACACGUGGGUGAUCUGCUCUGCACUUCGGGAUAAGCCUGGGCAACUGGGUCUAAUACCGGAUAGGAGCCAUUUUUAGCGUGAUGGUUGGAAAGUUUUUUCGGGGUAGGAUGAGCUCGCGGGCUAUCAGCUUGUUGGUUGGAUAAUGGCCUACCAAGCCGGCGACGGGUAGCCGGCCUGAGAGUGUGGACGGCCACAUUGGGACUGAGAGACGGCCCAGACUGCGACGGGAGGCAGAAGUGGGGAAGAUUGCACAAGGGGCGCAGGCCUGAUGCAGCGACGCCGCGUGGGGGAUGACGGUCUUCGGGUUGUAGAAUCCUUGCGCUAGGGACGAAGCUUUUUGUGACGGUACCUAGAUAAGAAGCACCGGCUAACUACGUG